rnacentral:rRNA from 1 species
GCAGGAAGACAGGUGGUGCAUGGUUGUCGUCAGCUCGUGUCGUGAGAUGUUGGGUUAAGUCCCGCAACGAGCGCAACCCUUAUCAUUAGUUGCUACCAUUAAGUUGAGCACUCUAGUGAGACUGCCCGGGUUAACCGGGAGGAAGGUGGGGAUGACGUCAAAUCAUCAUGCCCCUUAUGUCUAGGGCUACACACGUGCUACAAUGGUAGGUACAACAAGACGCAAGACCGCGAGGUGGAGCAAAACUGUAAAACCUAUCCCAGUUCGGAUUGUAGGCUGAAACUCGCCUACAUGAAGCCGGAGUUGCUAGUAAUCGCGAAUCAGCAUGUCGCGGUGAAUACGUUCCCGGGCCUUGUACACACCGCCCGUCACACCAUGAGAGUUGGCAAUACCCAAAGUUCGUGUGGUAACCGUAAGGAGCCAGCGGCCUAAGGUAGGGUCAGCGAUUGGGGUGAAGUCGUAACAAGGUAACC